GACGAACGCUGGCGGCGUGCUUAACACAUGCAAGUCGAACGGAAAGGCCCUGCUUUUGUGGGGUGCUCGAGUGGCGAACGGGUGAGUAACACGUGAGUAACCUGCCCUUGACUUUGGGAUAACUUCAGGAAACUGGGGCUAAUACCGGAUAGGAGCUCCUGCUGCAUGGUGGGGGUUGGAAAGUUUCGGCGGUUGGGGAUGGACUCGCGGCUUAUCAGCUUGUUGGUGGGGUAGUGGCUUACCAAGGCUUUGACGGGUAGCCGGCCUGGGAGGGUGACCGGCCACAUUGGGACUGAGAUACGGCCCAGACUCCUACGGGAGGCAGCAGUGGGGAAUAUUGAACAAUGGGCGGAAGCCUGAUGCAGCAACGCCGCGUGCGGGAUGACGGCCUUCGGGUUGUAAACCGCUUUCGCCUGUGACGAAGCGUGAGUGACGGUAAUGGGUAAAGAAGCACCGGCUAACUACGUG
rnacentral:rRNA from 1 species